rnacentral:tRNA from 1 species
GCUCCUGUGGCGCAAUGGUAGCGCGUAAGACUUGUAUGUCCCCGCAAGAUUCCACAGCCUUGGCUUUGAUACUAACGUCCCUGCAGCUACCAACCAGAUAUCUUAAGGUUGUGGGUUCGACCCCCACCAGGAGUU